AAAAUCCAAACAUUCCUUGAACACCUUCAGGGUCGGUGACUCCACCACCUCCCUGGACAGCCCAGCAGAGUGCAUUUAUUCCAGCAGAGAUGUCAUCUUCAUUUUUUUUUUUUCUUUUCACAGCUGUACCAAAUCUUGCUUCCAAUUUGAAGUUACAAUCAAGAUAGAAAAGUCCUAAUGAAUGGGAAAUUAAUGGUACAGAUCAAGCAAUCAGCACUCCUGAAGGAGUGGAGGAUAUUAGGAUCAUCCCAGGGAGGAGACAGAGGCUUUGUUAGGAGAGCUAAUGCAUCACUCCUCUUGUGAUUCCCAUGAGGAGAUACACAGCAUUACACAGCCUACAAUCUGCAUAGACAAGUACUGAACACUAGUCAACUACUGAUGCCUACCUCUAACCACAUUGGUAGCAGUACCACUGAUGAUGCUUGAAAGGCUGCUGCUGGUUAACAUUGCCACCAACAAAACUGUGUGUCUGUGUGUCUUUUCUGGGCCUGCAGACAUCUCAGUGCACAAUAUGAUGGACAAGUUGGUAUCCUUCCUUCUUCAGAUGUUAUCUAUGAUACGUGAACAGCAUGUUGUCCCCUUCCUUCUUGUGUCCCUAAUGGAUCUCAGUGCAUUACCAUCACCCCAUGUUAUGCUGCUGUACUGGAUGACGUCAGUGGUUGUGCAGGAGUGGGACUUUGACACGUAGGGAGCAGAAAAUAAACAUUCAUGUUGGAGUGUAGUGCUGCGUACGUGUCUGGUGCCAGCCAGGUCAGGGUUCACACAGCCAGAUCACCUUUGAAAUUCGUCUUGCUGCUGUCCUUCCACAGCUACCUUGCACGUGACUUGUUUAGCAGGCAGUUUUAUUUUAACAUCAUGGUGUCAUCAGCUUAAUUAGUCAUAGAAGGACUCCCUCCUUCUACCUCCCAAAAUUGCACUUGGCUUCCCCAGAUUUUCCCCACAUCAUCCCAUCUCACUGGGGACAGCAUGCUAUCUAAUGGUUAAUGAAAGGAGACAGGCCCAGAUUACAAGGCUGUCUGAGAUCUGUGUACGUAUACUGUUUUGACAGCAGAAACUACAAACAGAUCAUUUUUGGUGACCUGUGCCCUUCAAUCUGUUUGAAAGCAAUUCCUGCCUCUUAGCACUGAAACUGAUGGUGGAAACAUAACCUGUGUGGAAAAUAUUGUCUCAGUACUCUCUUGCCCAAUGGUUUGUUUCCUGAUUCUGACGAUCCAAGCUAAUACUCAUGCUUCCUUGGCAGAACCUGAGUGUACGACCCACUGUGCUGUCAGUGACUGUGUAGAUGGGUCUGUGCUGGUGAGUUAGAGCUGAGACUGGAAAUAAGGAAGAAAUUUUUUAUAACAGGGGUGGUGAGGCAGUGGCACAGGUUGCCCAGAGAGCUGGUGGAUGCUUUGUCCCUGAAGACACUCAAGGUCAGGCUGGAUGGUGCUCUGAGCCCCGCUGUUCCAGCUGAAGGUGUCCCUGUUUAUUGCUGGGGAGUUGCACCAGAUGGCUGCUAAGGGUUCCUUCCAACUUAAAAAAUUGUAUGAUUCCAUGUCUGUGAGGGACUCAAAAAAUGAGGAUAACAUUCAGGCAGCACAAAACAUAUAAGAUCAGCCUGCCCAACAACUCUUUCAUCAGAGGUGGGGGAGGAAAGUGAAAAAGGGAGAUACAAGAAGGAAAGAGGCAGCAGGUGGAAAAGCAGGUCAUGGUUUGGAGCAAACAUGGAGAAAAAUGGGCCACCUGUUUGCCACCUGUGUGGUAGCAACAGCACUGCCACAUCUGUGAUGAGUGAAGGAUUCUGCUCAAUUCACUUAGGAAAUUAGACUUCUCUUUACAAACCUGCUUGGAAAGGAGGACAGGAGGUGGUCAUCCUUCAAGUAGCUCUUCCCAUGCACAAUUAUCUUGAAAUAUGGUUCUCCAGGUCCAGCCCACUUUAAGAAAUUUCUCCCCAGGGCCAGAGCCUUUGCUAGACCUACACCUACUCUUCCUCAGCCACCACUCUGCCCAGUUAGCACUUAGCAUCGGAAAAAACCUGCCUUGUGGAAAUAGAAUUGCAGACCAUUUGCUGGCCUGGAUCAGUGCCUGCUUCUUGCAGAAGUAUUUGUCCUUUGGUCUUUCCCAUCAAGUUGCUGCCAGAGCCUUAACCGGGCUUUUGUCAUUGCCGUUAUAACAACAAUUAAGGCUGCAGAGGCUGCAGAGUCAAAGCUAAACUAAGCUGUUUCCCUCACCUUCAUGCUGAGACCGUUCUUCAUCUGCACGCUAUGUGCCAGAAAUUUGCAUUCACUGAAGUUAUUCAUAAUACAGAAACAUCUCAGGCCUCCUGCCUGGCUGUGUCCUGCCUACCUGCUGCUCCUGGGGCAUGGGAGACAGCUGGGUGGCAAGAUGAAUCCAAUUCUCUCAUUUGUAAAGUAUCAUCCUUAACCCCUGACAUGUUGGCAGCCUGAAGUGGGCUCUUUCAGUGCAGGAUCCUGGCAGGAAACAUCUGCUGGAAGGAGUGUGCAGCCUGAGCAGCCAAGCAAGCUAUGGCAAAACAAAGAAUAAACAUGCAUGGUGCAUAACAAAGUGGUGUCCGGAAGCAAAUUCCUUCUCUAGGAAAGAAAACUGAAUCUUACUCUUGUUUCCCCAAAUCCCCUCUGUUUCCCAGCUAAGUCUCAGCAAUUUCAAGCAUGCCAAACAUGCAAGGAAGUACUGCUGACGUCAGGCGUCUGGAGGCCACAAAGAGGGGAUGGAGUUCCGGAAAUCUGUGCUCUGAGAAUGAAACAGAUACUGUGUGAGGAGUGUGUGCUGGGUCAGAAAAGGGUUUCCUUGCUGUGCAAUCCAUCUGAGGCAGUUUUCUAUUUCGAGUCCCCAGCUGGAGCUGGAGGAAGGGGCAGUGGGUCUUGGGGUGAAUCAUCCAUCCUGCUGGGAGAAUCCUGAGGUGGGAGAUUUCCUGCAUUUGGAAAGAAAACAAGACGCUCAGAAGCUGUUUAUGCUAGCAGGGAACCAAACACCAUCUAACGGGGACCUCAGUGAGGUCAUCCAGGAACCCAGAGGUAGUGCUCAUCUGCCAUUAAUUCCUUACACUCAGAAAAAUAAACGGUGCUCCCAACUGUGCAGCCUUAAGGGCCGCAGGCUCUCCUAUGAAUAUUUAUGUUAGGUGGGAAUAAAUCCACAGAGCAGGUGUGGAUGGCUGGUCAUAAAUUUCAGCUAAUACCUGGGUGUAUUGGAGGAGCAUGGAGCUCACAGCCAGUGGCACCAUGCCCUCCCCCAGCUGCAGAAGUGAAGGGAGUCUUCACUCCCAGCUCCAGUGCUCAUGAAUGCAGAUCACUGCAAUCAA